rnacentral:rRNA from 1 species
GAUGAACGCUAGCGGCAGGCCUAACACAUGCAAGUCGAGGGGUAGAAGUCUUCGGACUUUGGGACCGGCGCACGGGUGCGUAACGCGUAUGCAAUCUGCCUUACACUAAGGGAUAGCCCAGAGAAAUUUGGAUUAAUACCUUAUAGUAUAUGAUGGGGACAUCCCCGACAUAUUAAAGUCACAACGGUGUAAGAUGAGCAUGCGUCCCAUUAGUUAGUUGGAGUGGUAACGGCACACCAAGACAAUGAUGGGUAGGGGUCCUGAGAGGGAGAUCCCCCACACUGGUACUGAGACACGGACCAG